rnacentral:rRNA from 1 species
AACAAACGCUGGCGGCGUGCCUAAUACAUGCAAGUCGAACGGGGAAAGCUUUCGGGUGAGUACUAGUGGCGCACGGGUGAGGAACGCGUGGAUAAUCUGCCUUAGAGUGGGGGAUAACUAGUCGAAAGAUUAGCUAAUACCGCAUAAGACCACAGGAGCUGCGGCUCAAGGGGUCAAAGGUUUUUCGCUCUAAGAUGAGUCCGCGUAAGAUUAGCUAGUUGGUGAGGUAACGGCUCACCAAGGCGACGAUCUUUAACUGGUCUUAGAGGAUGAUGAGUCAGACUGGAACGUAGACACGGUCAAGACGCCUACGGGAGGCAGAAGUAGGGAAUAUUGCACAAUGGAGGAAACUCUGAUGCAGCGACGCCGCGUGAGUGAUGAAGGCCUUCGGGUCGUAAAGCUCUGUCGCAGGGGAAUAACACAAUGAAGGUACCCUGUAAGAAAGGAUCGGCUAACUUCGUGCCAGCCGCCGCCGUAACAC